UAAAACAAUGACUCACGCACACCAUGUC
rnacentral:sRNA from 1 species